GACGAACGCUGGCGGCGUGCCUAAUACAUGCAAGUUGAGCGCUGAAGGUUGGUACUUGUACCGACUGGAUGAGCAGCGAACGGGUGAGUAACGCGUGGGGAAUCUGCCUUUGAGCGGGGGACAACAUUUGGAAACGAAUGCUAAUACCGCAUAAAAACUUUAAACACAAGUUUUAAGUUUGAAAGAUGCAAUUGCAUCACUCAAAGAUGAUCCCGCGUUGUAUUAGCUAGUUGGUGAGGUAAAGGCUCACCAAGGCCAUGAUACAUAGCCGACCUGAGAGGGUGAUCGGCCACAUUGGGACUGAGACACGGCCCAAACUCCUACGGGAGGCAGCAGUAGGGAAUCUUCGGCAAUGGACGAAAGUCUGACCGAGCAACGCCGCGUGAGUGAAGAAGGUUUUCGGAUCGUAAAACUCUGUUGGUAGAGAAGAACGUUGGUGAGAGUGGAAAGCUCAUCAAGUGACGGUAACUACCCAGAAAGGGACGGCUAACUACGUG
rnacentral:rRNA from 1 species